GAGGUGUAGCUCAGUGGUACAGUAUGUGCCUGGCAUGCACAAGGCCCUGGGUUCAAUCCCCAGCACUGGCC